GUUUGGCCAAGUGCGAGAUCCUUCAGCCAGCGGCGCUUCGGCCUCGCAGAAAGGAAAUAAAGAGAAGAAAUUUUUCUAUAGUCAUCCAAAGUUAAAGAAACUGGAAGAAGUUAUAAUUGACACUUCAGGUCAUGGAAUGC